rnacentral:tRNA from 1 species
CCCUGGCUGGCUCAGUCAGAAGAGCAUGUGAUUCUUGAUCUCAGGGUUGGGGGUUCAAGCCCCACUUCAGGCA